UACGUAGGGUCCGAGCGUUGUCCGGAAUUAUUGGGCGUAAAGAGCUCGUAGGCGGCUUGUCGCGUCUGCUGUGAAAACCUAAGGCUCAACCUUGGGCUUGCAGUGGGUACGGGCAGACUAGAGUGCGGUAGGGGUGACUGGAAUUCCUGGUGUAGCGGUGGGAUGCGCAGAUAUCAGGAGGAACACCGGUGGCGAAGGCGGGUCUCUGGGCAGUAACUGACGCUGAGGAGCGAAAGCGUGGGGAGCGAACAGG
rnacentral:rRNA from 1 species